AGUAAUGUAAGUAAAGUAAUAUUAAAGUUAAAUGGUUUAGUAAGGUAUACUAAUGAAAUUAUUGUUAUUAUAGUUAUAAGUACCGUGAGGGAAUUAUUAAAUAAUAUGAAAUGAGGUUCUUUAUAUAGAAAGUUUAAAGACUGUACCUUUUGUAUCAGGGAACAAUCUAAAUAAGAUAAUAAAUAUUAUUUUCCCGAAUUAAAAAGAGUUAAUGUAGUAUGAAGUUACCUGUGGUAUAAGGUUUUUGAAUAUUAUUUUAGUAGUUAAAUGCUAGUCGGUUUUUAUGAUAUCUGGUUGUGUAGGAAGUAUAUUUAAUAUAGUAGUCAUUGUUAAUUGAUGUUAAUUUUUUAAGGUCAAUUGUUAUGGUUAGUUAGGGUUUGGGGGAUUUGCUCUUAGCUCAGGGAUGUCCUAUAACUUUUAGUGAUUUGUUUAUUGUUGUUGGCUUAGAAAUAGCAAUCAUUUAUAAUUUUGUUAUAAUUUAUUUAAGUAAUUAUUGAUAAUAUUUAAAUAAAGUUUAGGUUAAAUUACUACACUAUUAUUAUUAAUCUUUAGGGUUUUUAAUUAUGAUGUUAUUAGUAUGUGGGAGAGGCUUUAAAUAAGGAACUCGGCAAAAGUAUUUCUCGCCUGUUUAUCAAAAACAUGUCCUUUUGUUAAAAUGGAAGGUCUGGCCUGCCCACUGAAUGUUUUAAAUGGCCGCGGUAUUUUGACCGUGCAAAGGUAGCAUAAUCAUUAGCCUUUUAAAUGUAGGCUUGUAUGAAAGGUUGGACGAAGGAAUGACUGUCUCUUUAUAGUAUAAAGGAAUUUUACUUUUAAGUGAAAAGGCUUAAAUGUUGAGGGAGGACGAUAAGACCCUAUAGAUCUUUAUAUUAGUAUUUUUCUGUAAAGAUUAGUUAUGUACUUUGCAGUAAUUUAUUUUUAUUUUGUUGGGGCGACAGAGGAAAAUUUAUAAACUUCUUUUUGGUUUAUACACUUAUAUGUGUUGUUGAUUGAUCCAUUAGUUGUGAUUAUAAGAUUAAGUUACCUUAGGGAUAACAGCGUAAUCUCUUUUGAGAGUUCUUAUCGACAGAGGGGGUUGCGACCUCGAUGUUGGAUUAAGAUUUACUUAGGCGGAGGGGCUUAAGGGAAAGGUCUGUUCGACCUUUAAAUUCUUACAUGAUCUGAGUUCAGAUCGGCGUGAGCCAGAUCGGUUUCUAUCCUUCUUUUUUUGGUAUACCUUAGUACGAAAGGACUUGGUAUUUGUAAUAUUUAUUUAUUUUUGAUUAAAAAUAA
rnacentral:rRNA from 1 species